rnacentral:rRNA from 1 species
UACAGAGGGUGCGAGCGUUAAUCGGAAUUACUGGGCGUAAAGAGCUCGUAGGCGGUCUGUCGCGUCGGAUGUGAAAAUCCAGGGCUCAACCCUGGACCUGCAUUCGAUACGGGCAGACUAGAGUUCGGCAGGGGAGACUGGAAUUCCUGGUGUAGCGGUGAAAUGCGCAGGUAUCAGGAAGAACACCCGUGGCUAAGGCGGCUCUCUAGUACGGUACUGACGCUGAGACGCGAAAGCGUGGGGAGCGAACAGG